rnacentral:rRNA from 1 species
ACAUCCAGAGAACUUAGCAGAGAUGCUUUGGUGCCUUCGGGAACUCUGAGACAGGUGCUGCAUGGCUGUCGUCAGCUCGUGUUGUGAAAUGUUGGGUUAAGUCCCGNAACGAGCGCAACCCUUAUCCUUUGUUGCCAGCGGCUCGGCCGGGAACUCAAAGGAGACUGCCGGUGAUAAACCGGAGGAAGGUGGGGACGACGUCAAGUCAUCAUGGCCCUUACGGCCAGGGCUACACACGUGCUACAAUGGCGCAUACAAAGAGAAGCGACCUCGCGAGAGCAAGCGGACCUCAUAAAGUGCGUCGUAGUCCGGAUUGGAGUCUGCAACUCGACUCCAUGAAGUCGGAAUCGCUAGUAAUCGUAGAUCAGAAUGCUACGGUGAAUACGUUCCCGGGCCUUGUACACACCGCCCGUCACACCAUGGGAGUGGGUUGCAAAAGAAGUAGGUAGCUUAACCUUCGGGAGGGCGCUUACCACUUUGUGAUUCAUGACUGGGGUGAAGUCGUAACAAGGUAGGCGUAGCGAG